rnacentral:lncRNA from 1 species
UUUGAGUCCCAGCCCGUCAGUGGACGGUUUGCUUGGGUUGGCCUGGUCUGAGUGCUGUAAGCAAGUGGUGGUUAAGCGGGUUGGGCUGGCUGGUUCAACGGUUUAAUUGGUUUGGAAUUAGUUCGCAGGCUUCAUCAGUUAAAUGCAGAGCCGCUCCAGUUCAAUGCAGAGACGCUCCAGUUAAAUGCAGAGCUUCAUCAGUUUACUUAAGUUAAUGCCUUUACUAA